CAGCCGCUGCCUGGCUCUCAUUACUCUCGCAUUCAGAUUGCAAAUCUGUGCUACGUUUAGUUAAUUUUAUAGUAUUAUUAUUAUUAUUAUUUUUGUUUUUGUUGUU